rnacentral:lncRNA from 1 species
GAGCCCUCCCUGCCCGCCUCAGAAGUUGCCGAUGAACCGCCCACCCUCACGAAGGAAGAACCAGUUCCAGUAGAGACACAGAUUGCUGAGGAGGAGGAAGACUCUGGUGCUCCACCCCUGAAACGCUUCUGUGUGGACCAACCUGCAGUGCCGCAGACAGCGUCGGAAAGCUAGCACCACCUUGGCGCCCUCUGCCUCCUGGCCCCUUGCCUCUAUUUAUUGCAUUCUGGUUCUGGCUGUGCUGUGUUGCUGGGUAAGGGCAAGCACUGGGGUCCAGAGCCUGCACACAGGAGCCCUCUGGGCUGGAAGGCUGACAUAGGACCUGGGGUCAUAGCAUCAUCUUCCCAUCCCUGGCACCUGUGUCUGCUUGAUCCUGAGAAGAGGAGCACUCAUGUCCCUUCUGCACCCCAAGUGGGCUGGAGCAUCCAGCACUCCAAGGUGGUUCUGUCACCUCCAGGUAGCAGUCUCUGCUCCAGAACCUCUGGCGUGGGCUGCUGGUGCUUCUUCAAGAGGAAAGAGAUGUGGAAGGCGCCCUCGAGAGAAGAGAGUGCCUGAGGCUUACUUGAACUUGAAUGGAGACUGUAGAGUCGUGGACUUUCCCCUCGGGCUAGGGGCCCUGUAGGCUGCUGUUGGAGGAGGCCUGCCUGCAUGGACGCUGGAGGGAACGAGAAGGCUUUUCUCCACCCGAGGGCAGAAAAGUCCGUAUAGAUUUCUUACUGUCAGGGUGCUUCUGCCCAUUCCUGAGGUUAUUCUGCCUCUCAUGGGCUCUCUGGCUGCUGACAGUCCUUUGUCCCCCACCGUAACCAUCGCCUUCCUCCAGCAAACACACGCACACACAGCUUCCCCCGUUUCCACUGGACAUUUCAUUCCAGCACCUCCUGCCUCCCGCCACCGUCCCCAGCACUCCUGCUACAAACUCCGCCCCAGCAAGAAUUUGAGGUUCUGACAACGGUACCCAUCCCCACAGUAGUCCUUCAGCUCAGACUUUCUAGAAAGCUCCCUUUUCUUUGAAAUCUGCAUGUUUAAUUGAAGCCUGUGAUUUUAUUUUUUGUUUCAAAAAAGUUUAAGAAAAUGGAAAUGGGCAACAGUGAGUGAAGACAUAUUUUAGCACUGAAUAGAAUAUUUUUAAAAUUAAACUAUUUGAAAUAU